CGCCUAUAGAUUAAUCUAUUAUAGGUACAUCCUGCCCAGUGAAACAUUAAACGGCUGCGGUAUCCUGACCGUACAAAGGUAGCAUAAUCAUUUGCCUCCUAAUUAGAGGCUAGCAUGAAUGGAUAAACGAGAUUAUUCCUGUCUCCUUUAUAAUCAUAAAAAUUAAUCUACAGGUGAAGAAACCUGUAUUCAAAUAAAAGACAAGAAGACCCUGUCGAGCUUUAAUUAUAUUAUAAACAAUUGUAACAAUCUACAUACCCUUAUAAAUAAUAUUUGUUGGGGCGACAUCGGAAAAAAUAAAUCUUCCGUUUUAAUAUAAGAUCUCAAAUCCUCCAAAUGAUCCCUAAUAGAUAUCCGGAAACAGCUACCGCAGGGAUAACAGACUAAUCCUCCUCAAGAGCCCAAAUCUACAGGAGGGCUUGGCACCUCGAUGUUGGCUUAGGAUCACAUUUAAAUGCAGAAAUUUAAAGUGUAGGUUUGUUCAACCUUCAAACUCCU
rnacentral:rRNA from 1 species